rnacentral:rRNA from 1 species
AGGAACGACCAUACAAUCAUGAGAACACCGAUACCCGUCUUCUCAUCGAAGUUAAGCAUGAUCUGGUCGAGGUAGUACUACGGUGGGGGACCACGUUGUAACCCCCCGUGCAUGCAAC